UACGUAGGGGGCGAGCGUUAUCCAGAUUUACUGGGCGUAAAGGGCGCGUAGGCGGCCACUGCAAGUCAGUUGUGAAAUCUCCGGGCUUAACCCGGAAAGGUCAACUGAUACUGCAGGGCUAGAGUGCAGAAGGGGCAACUGGAAUUCUCGGUGUAGCGGUGAAAUGCGUAGAUAUCGAGAGGAACACCUGCGGCGAAGGCGGGUUGCUGGGCUGACACUGACGCUGAGGCGCGAAAGCCAGGGGAGCGAACGGG
rnacentral:rRNA from 1 species